GACUUGCUUUCUCUCUUACAUGCCUUGAGUGUAGGACCGUUGGCAUCUCAAUUACCCUCCCACACCCAAGGCUUGCAGGAGGGCCAGCCU
rnacentral:pre_miRNA from 1 species